rnacentral:hammerhead_ribozyme from 1 species
GUCCAGCUGACGAGUCCCAAGUAGGACGAAACGCGCAUCCUGGAU